UACGUAGGGUGCGAGCGUUGUCCGGAAUUAUUGGGCGUAAAGAGCUCGUAGGCGGUUUGUCGCGUCGACUGUGAAAACCCGAGGCUUAACCUCGGGCCUGCAGUCGAUACGGGCAGACUAGAGUUCGGUAGGGGAGACUGGAAUUCCUGGUGUAGCGGUGAAAUGCGUAGAUAUCAGGAGGAACACCGGUGGCGAAGGCGUCCCUCUGGCCGGAUACUGACGCUGAGACGCGAAAGCGUGGGGAGCAAACAGG
rnacentral:rRNA from 1 species